rnacentral:rRNA from 1 species
GGGUUGUGAGGUUAAGCGACUAAGCGUACACGGUGGAUGCCCUGGCAGUCAGAGGCGAUGAAGGACGUGCUAAUCUGCGAUAAGCGUCGGUAAGGUGAUAUGAACCGUUAUAACCGGCGAUUUCCGAAUGGGGAAACCCAGUGUGUUUCGACACACUAUCAUUAACUGAAUCCAUAGGUUAAUGAGGCGAACCGGGGGAACUGAAACAUCUAAGUACCCCGAGGAAAAGAAAUCAACCGAGAUUCCCCCAGUAGCGGCGAGCGAACGGGGAGCAGCCCAGAGCCUGAAUCAGUGUGUGUGUUAGUGGAAGCGUCUGGAAAGGCGCGCGAUACAGGGUGACAGCCCCGUACACAAAAAUGCACAUGCUGUGAGCUCGAUGAGUAGGGCGGGACACGUGGUAUCCUGUCUGAAUAUGGGGGGACCAUCCUCCAAGGCUAAAUACUCCUGACUGACCGAUAGUGAACCAGUACCGUGAGGGAAAGGCGAAAAGAACCCCGGCGAGGGGAGUGAAAAAGAACCUGAAACCGUGUACGUACAAGCAGUGGGAGCACGCUUAGGCGUGUGACUGCGUACCUUUUGUAUAAUGGGUCAGCGACUUAUAUUCUGUAGCAAGGUUAACCGAAUAGGGGAGCCGAAGGGAAACCGAGUCUUAACUGGGCGUUAAGUUGCAGGGUAUAGACCCGAAACCCGGUGAUCUAGCCAUGGGCAGGUUGAAGGUUGGGUAACACUAACUGGAGGACCGAACCGACUAAUGUUGAAAAAUUAGCAGGACUUGUACGGGGGUGAAAGGCCAAUCAAACCGGGAGAUAGCUGGUUCUCCCCGAAAGCUAUUUAGGUAGCGCCUCGUGAAUUCAUCUCCGGGGGUAGAGCACUGUUUCGGCAAGGGGGUCAUCCCGACUUACCAACCCGAUGCAAACUACGAAUACCGGAGAAUGUUAUCACGGGAGACACACGGCGGGUGCUAACGUCCGUCGUGAAGAGGGAAACAACCCAGACCGCCAGCUAAGGUCCCAAAGUCAUGGUUAAGUGGGAAACGAUGUGGGAAGGCCCAGACAGCCAGGAUGUUGGCUUAGAAGCAGCCAUCAUUUAAAAGCUUGUAGCUCACUGGUCGAGUCGGCCUGCGCGGAAGAUGUAACGGGGCUAAACCAUGCACCGAAGCUGCGGCAGCGACGCUGAUGCGUUGUUGGGUAGGGGAGCGUUCUGUAAGCCUGCGAAGGUGUGCUGUGAGGCAUGCUGGAGGUAUCAGAAGUGCGAAUGCUGACAUAAGUAACGAUAAAGCGGGUGAAAAGCCCGCUCGCCGGAAGACCAAGGGUUCCUGUCCAACGUUAAUCGGGGCAGGGUGAGUCGACCCCUAAGGCGAGGCCGAAAGGCGUAGUCGAUGGGAAACAGGUUAAUAUUCCUGUACUUGGUGUUACUGCGAAGGGGGGACGGAGAAGGCUAUGUUGGCCGGGCGACGGUUGUCCCGGUUUAAGCGUGUAGGCUGGUUUUCCAGGCAAAUCCGGAAAAUCAAGGCUGAGGCGUGAUGACGAGGCACUACGGUGCUGAAGCAACAAAUGCCCUGCUUCCAGGAAAAGCCUCUAAGCAUCAGGUAACAUCAAAUCGUACCCCUGAAACCAAACACAGGUGAUGGUGAGAAAUACCAAGGCGCUUGAGAGAACUCCGGGUGAAGAACUAGGCAAAAUAGUUGCCGUAACUGGGGAGAAGGCACGCUGAUAUGUAGGUGAAGUCCCUCGCGGAUGGAGCUGAAAUCAGUCGAAGAUACCAGCUGGCUGCAACUGUUUAUUAAAAACACAGCACUGUGCAAACACGAAAGUGGACGUAUACGGUGUGACGCCUGCCCGGUGCCGGAAGGUUAAUUGAUGGGGUUAGCGCAAGCGAAGCUCUUGAUCGAAGCCCCGGUAAACGGCGGCCGUAACUAUAACGGUCCUAAGGUAGCGAAAUUCCUUGUCGGGUAAGUUCCGACCUGCACGAGAAUAGCGUAAUGAUGGCGAGGCUGUCUCCACCCGAGACUCAGUGAAAUUGAACUCGCUGUGAAGAUGCAGUGUACCCGCGGCAAGACGGAAAGACCCCGUGAACCUUUACUAUAGCUUGACACUGAACAUUGAGCCUUGAUGUGUAGGAUAGGUGGGAGGCUUUGAAGUGUGGACGCCAGUCUGCAUGGAGCCGACCUUGAAAUACCACCCUUUAAUGUUUGAUGUUCUAACGUGGACCCGUAAUCCGGGUUGCGGACAGUGUCUGGUGGGUAGUUUGACUGGGGCGGUCUCCUCCUAAAGAGUAACGGAGGAGCACGAAGGUUGGCUAAUCCUGGUCGGACAUCAGGAGGUUAGUGCAAUGGCAUAAGCCAGCUUGACUGCGAGCGUGACGGCGCGAGCAGGUAUAGCACGGGUCAUAGUGAUCCGGUGGUUCUGAAUGGAAGGGCCAUCGCUCAACGGAUAAAAGGUACUCCGGGGAUAACAGGCUGAUACCGCCCAAGAGUUCAUAUCGACGGCGGUGUUUGGCACCUCGAUGUCGGCUCAUCACAUCCUGGGGCUGAAGUAGGUCCCAAGGGUAUGGCUGUUCGCCAUUUAAAAGUGGUACGCGAGCUGGGUUUGGGAACGUCAUUGAGACAGUUCGGUCCCUAUCUGCCGUGGGCGCUGGAGAACUGAGGGGGGCUGCUCCUAGUACGAGAGGACCGGAGUGGACGCAUCACUGGUGUUCGGGUUGUCGUACCAGUAAGCGCACCCGGUAGCUAAAUGCGGAAGAGAUAAGUGCUGAAAGCAUCUAAGCACGAAACUUGCCCCGAGAUGAGUUCUCCCUGACUCCUUGAGAGUCCUGAAGGAACGUUGAAGACGACGACGUUGAUAGGCCGGGUGUGUAAGCGCAGCGAUGCGUUGAGCUAACCGGUACUAAUGAACCGUGAGGCUUAACCUUACAACGCCGAAG